GACGGAGGAUGCAAGUGUUAUCCGGAAUCACUGGGCGUAAAGCGUCUGUAGGUGGUCAAAUAAGUCAACUGUUAAAUCUUGAGGCUCAACCUCAAAAUCGCAGUCGAAACUAUUAGACUAGAGUAUAGUAGGGGUAAAGGGAAUUUCCAGUGGAGCGGUGAAAUGCGUAGAGAUUGGAAAGAACACCGAUGGCGAAGGCACUUUACUGGGCUAUUACUAACGCUCAGAGACGAAAGCUAGGGUAGCAAAUGGG
rnacentral:rRNA from 1 species